UACGUAGGGUGCAAGCGUUGUCCGGAAUUAUUGGGCGUAAAGAGCUCGUAGGCGGUCUGUCGCGUCGGCUGUGAAAACCCGAGGCUCAACCUCGGGCCUGCAGUGGGUACGGGCAGACUAGAGUGCGGUAGGGGAGAUUGGAAUUCCUGGUGUAGCGGUGGAAUGCGCAGAUAUCAGGAGGAACACCGAUGGCGAAGGCAGAUCUCUGGGCCGUAACUGACGCUGAGGAGCGAAAAGCGUGGGGAGCGAACAGGAUUA
rnacentral:rRNA from 1 species